AAGAUGUGUAGAACGAGUGAAAGCUGCUAACUUUGUAUUCAAGUGGUUAAAAUCCAUUUACAUCUUA
rnacentral:tRNA from 1 species